rnacentral:tRNA from 1 species
GGUGGGUUGGCUCAGUGGUUAGAGCUCAGCUUAGCUCGUAACCGAAAGGUCGCGGGAUCAAAUCCCGCUAGAGGCUG